GACGUAGGGGGCCAGCGUUGUUCGGAAUUACUGGGUGUAAAGGGUUCGUAGGCGGUGUGGCAAGUCGGGAGUGAAAUCUCUGGGCUCAACCCAGAGUCUGCUUCCGAAACUGCUGUGCUUGAGUGUGGGAGAGGCGCGUGGAAUUGCAGGUGUAGCGGUGAAAUGCGUAGAUAUCUGCAGGAACACCCGUGGCGAAAGCGGCGCGCUGGACCACUACUGACGCUGAGGAACGAAAGCUAGGGGAGCAAAUGGG
rnacentral:rRNA from 1 species